rnacentral:rRNA from 1 species
AGAACGAACGCUGGCGGCAGGCUUAACACAUGCAAGUCGAACGGAUGUAGCAAUACAUUAGUGGCGCACGGGUGAGUAACGCGUGGGAACGUGCCUUUCAGUUCUGGAUAACAGCGGGAAACUGCUGCUAAUACCGAAUAUUCCCUCCGGGGGAAAGAUUUAUCGCUGAAAGAUCGGCCCGCGUUAGAUUAGGUAGUUGGUGGGGUAAUGGCCUACCAAGCCUACGAUCUAUAGCUGGUCUGAGAGGACGGCCAGCCACACUGGAACUGAGACACGGUCCAGACUCCUACGGGAGGCAGCAGUGGGGAAUAUUGGACAAUGGGCGAAAGCCUGAUCCAGCCAUGCCGCGUGAGUGAUGAAGGCCUUAGGGUUGUAAAGCUCUUUUGGCGGGGAAGAUGAUGACGGUACCGCAGAAUAGCACCGGCUAACUCGCGCCAGCAGCCGC